UACGUAGGUGGCAAGCGUUGUCCGGAUUUACUGGGCGUAAAGGGCGCGUAGGUGGAUAUUUAAGUGGGAUGUGAAAUACUCGGGCUCAACCUGAGUGCUGCAUUCCAAACUGGAUAUCUAGAGUGCAGGAGAGGAAAGUAGAAUUCCUAGUGUAGCGGUGAAAUGCGUAGAGAUUAGGAAGAAUACCAGUGGCGAAGGCGACUUUCUGGACUGUAACUGACACUGAGGCUCGAAAGCGUGGGGAGCAAACAGG
rnacentral:rRNA from 1 species